ACGCUGACACCUACGGAGGCAGCAGUCGGGAAUAUUGCGCAAUGGAGGAAACUCUGACGCAGUGACGCCGCGUGCAGGAAGAAGGUUUUCGGAUUGUAAACUGCUUUAGACAGGGAAGAAAGAAAUGACAGUACCUGUAGAAUAAGCUCCGGCUAACUACGUGCGUAGCACGGCCGGACGGUAAUCUGAGGCGGGCGUCGGACGAAGGC
rnacentral:rRNA from 1 species